AGUAAAUACAUUUGUGCAGGGGACACAUGCCACAUGCCGCUCUCCAGCCUGCUAGGAGUACUCAUGGCCUUCAUCUUCUCUGGAUCCAGUGUGGCCCAGAGAGUUACUCAAGUCCAGACAGCCACAUCCAGGCAAGAGGGGGCAACAGUCACCCUGGACUGUAGAUAUGAAACAAGUCAGAGUGUGUACUACAUUUUUUGGUAUAAGCAGCUUCCCAACGGAGAGAUCAUUUUCCUUAUUAGUCAGGGUUCUUCUGGCCAAAAUGCAAAGAGUGGCCGCUAUUUUACAAACUUAGAGACAGCAGCUAAAUUCAUCAGCCUCACCAUUUCAACCUUACAGCUGGAAGAUUCAGCAAAGUAUUUUUGUGCUCUCCAAGAACGCACAGUGUUUGAAGUGACAGUAGAAGCUGAACAAAAACUCCAGAGCUCAAUAAGACAGAGCCCCCCCUGCUGCAGGAGGCAAGCUGAAACGCACACCUGCAGAUCCCAGACAAGAAAUGGUAGUGCUGUGGGUGCUUAG